rnacentral:lncRNA from 1 species
UGGAUCGUUCUUUUGUGAGUAAAUAUCAUGAGAAAGUUAGUCAAUUUUUUCAUUGAUCAAUUUACUUAUGUUCUCACACUUUUUAAGAUGGAUAAGUUUAUCCAUCCAGGAGAUAGUUAAAUCAUUUUUUCAUCGAUCAGUAAAAUAGAUAUUUAAUACUGUACCUAAAAUAUCCAUCCUCAUUUUCAAUGUCUCCAUCAUUUAAUGCUUAA